rnacentral:rRNA from 1 species
GAUGAACGCUGGCGGCGUGCCUAAUACAUGCAAGUCGAGCGAACAGACGAGGAGCUUGCUCCUUUGACGUUAGCGGCGGACGGGUGAGUAACACGUGGGUAACCUACCUAUAAGACUGGGAUAACUCCGGGAAACCGGGGCUAAUGCCGGAUAACAUUUUGAACCGCAUGGUUCUAUAGUGAAAGAUGGUUUUGCUGUCACUUAUAGAUGGAUCCGCGCCGUAUUAGCUAGUUGGUAAGGUAACGGCUUACCAAGGCAACGAUACGUAGCCGACCUGAGAGGGUGAUCGGCCACACUGGAACUGAGACACGGUCCAGACUCCUACGGGAGGCAGCAGUAGGGAAUCUUCCGCAAUGGGCGAAAGCCUGACGGAGCAACGCCGCGUGAGUGAUGAAGGUCUUCGGAUCGUAAAACUCUGUUAUUAGGGAAGAACAAAUGUGUAAGUAACUGUGCACGUCUUGACGGUACCUAAUCAGAAAGCCACGGCUAACUACGUG